GGGUCUGAGAUGAGGAAGAAGUGCGCGGAACUCCGACAAGCUCCCUGCAAACAACUUAGUCUGCAUUACUGGAACAGAGGAAAGACCUGUGUAUAUUUGGAUUAAUUCAAUGUUUCUCAUUUUGAGAAUGUUGUAAUUCUGUGAAGAUGCACUGAAGACAACGAAAAGAUGGAAGUGGAGGAGACUGGUGAAACAAGGACUUCCUGUCCAGCCGUUCUUAGGUCUGCAGUGCCAGGAGAGACACACUCCAUCCUCUGUGACCAUGCUGGGAAGAAGAGAAAACAAGACCCGGCCCCUGAACCCGUGAUCAGAAUCACAGAGGAUGAAGAGGAAGAGGAGGAGGGCGAAAUGAUGUCCGACCACAUGAAGGAUUCAGAGGAGCCCAGUAAUAAAAGGGUCAAACCUGUGGCAAAGUCCAAUAGCCUAACAGGUGUCAUAACCCCAGUGAAGACCCCUGCUCUAAAACGUAUCGGACAGUCCAUUUCGCGGUCUAUUAGUUUUCGCACAGAGGCUCGACCUUUGCCCCCAGCUCCCCUGCGCUCUCGCGCAAAGGCCUCGUCGUUUCCACGCCGGCGCAACAGCCAAUGCUGGAGUGACACUGUGGAGAGUCAUGACCUCACUGCAAAGGAGAUCAAACGUCAAGAGGUGAUCUAUGAGCUGACUCAGGGAGAAAGACAACUUAUUGAGGACCUCAGUCUGGUUAAGAAGGUGUACUAUGAGCCCAUGCUGAAGUUGGACAUCCUGACAGAGAGUGAGCUUGGACAGAUCUUUGGCACUCUGGACGCCCUCAUUCCUCUCCAUGAAGAUCUUCUGAGUCGCCUCGAGCGGCUGAGGGGAUCAGAGAAGACAGUCGGCGAGGUGGGGCCUACCCUGAUGAACUGGUUCCCUUGCCUGGAGGCCUAUGUUACAUACUGCUGUAACCAAGUGGGGGCCAAAGCCCUGCUGGACCAGAAAAAACAUGAGAAGAGAGUGGAGCACUUCCUGCGCCUGUGUCAGGAGUCUUCGUUCAGCCGGAAACUGGACCUGUGGAACUUCCUGGAUCUCCCUCGAAGCCGUUUGGUCAAAUACCCCCUGCUUCUGAAAGAGAUACAGAAGUGCACACCUCCAGAGCACCCUGAUGAGGACACCUUGCCUGAUGCUUUGGAGCUGAUCCAGAGCAUCGUGGCCGAGGUUAACAAGAAGACAGGGGAGGCUGAGUGUCAGUUCUACAGGCGGGGUCUCAGCUACCUCGAAGAGAGCCAGAGACUACCAGAGAUCCAGCUGUCCCGCUUCCUCUACUGCCACGGAGAGCUCAAGAACAACAAGGGCCAGCGGCUGCAUGUAUUUCUGUUUGAGCUGGCGUUGGUGCUGACCAGACCGGGGGAGGACAGAGAAGGGGGUCAUGUGUUCCAUGUGUACAGACAGCCUCUGCCCAAUGCCUUGAUAAAUCUGGAGGAGAUCCCAGAUGGGGAGGCUGGUGGAGGGAGCACCUUCAGAGGAGCCUUCACUGGGGGAAAUGAUAAAGUGAAGAACUGCUUCCGUGUGAGCAGCAGAGGGCGCUCCAAAGCUCACCCUUACAGCCUGCAGGCCAACGACUCCUUCAGCAAGCAGCAGUGGAUCACCUGUCUGCGCCAAGCGAUUGUCCAGUCGCGAGACAAGACUGCCCAGACCAGCCCGUCGCAGCUCCCCCCUCACCAUGAUCCCGCCCUGUAUCACAUAGCCGAGCUCAGCCUCAGCUCGGACACAGAAAUGGCAGACCACACCAGUCGCUGACUGUCAGGCCGAUCCUCAAGAACCCUGUGGGGUCUCCACAGAUGUGUACAUUGACAUUGGAGAAAAAUAAAUAAAUGGGACUGUUUGUGAAAGAUGAUUGUGCUUGCACACACGUAUAGAAUUUCCAACAUGGAUAACUUUCUUUUGUUGCUCUUUCUGAUGGAUUGUGUGAUUGUGGUGAUGUGUACUGUACAGCUUUGGAACAGUAGUUCUGAAUGUGAAUUUGCCAUUUAAAAUGUUGUUGCUAUCUGUGUUUUGUGUUUUGUUUUUUUUUUAAAUAAACUGACACUUUAAACGUUUAUUGAGGUACUCGUGGAAAAGUACACAAAGAAAGGUCUAAGUAUAGCCAACAAGAUCUACAGAGAAAAGAUUAAAGAUGAUUAUCCUCCCUCCCUCCCUCCUUCUUUCUCUCCUUGUCCCUCUGACACGGGUGACAGGGCAGGGGAGAGAGGUAGACUUUCAGUUCUAGCCUACAGACCCACAGUGAAACAGUAGAUGUCCCCUUAUGCAUUUUUAACAGCUCAGCAGGUGAUGGGAACAGUUCGGUUGGGACAGUUUGUCUGCAGAUAGAGUGACCAAGUGAUCAGCUGUGAAUGACGUCCCCCGUCAUUUUCCUGGAAAGUAAGGAUAAUACUCCACCAUACUUCAUACAUUGAAAAAGGGGACUCGCU